rnacentral:rRNA from 1 species
GACGAACGCUGGCGGCGUGCCUAAUACAUGCAAGUCGAGCGAAGUUUUUCUGGUGCUUGCCCUAGAAAAACUUAGCGGCGAACGGGUGAGUAACACGUAAAGAACCUGCCUCAUAGACUGGGACAACUAUUGGAAACGAUAGCUAAUACCGGAUAACAGUAUUUCUCGCAUGAGAGAUAUUUAAAAGUUGGUUAUGCUAACACUAUGAGAUGGCUUUGCGGUGCAUUAGCUAGUUGGCGGGGUAAAGGCCCACCAAGGCGACGAUGCAUAGCCGACCUGAGAGGGUGAUCGGCCACACUGGGACUGAGACACGGCCCAGACUCCUACGGGAGGCAGCAGUAGGGAAUCUUCCGCAAUGGGCGAAAGCCUGACGGAGCAACGCCGCGUGAGUGAAGAAGGAUUUCGGUUCGUAAAGCUCUGUUGUUAGGGAAGAAUGGAUAUGUAGUAACUAUACAUGUAAGAGACGGUACCUAACCAGAAAGCCACGGCUAACUACGU